rnacentral:lncRNA from 1 species
UUGAAGUCGGGGAUGAAGUCUGGCUCCCGUAGGAGUCUGGACGAAGUCUUGAAGAUGGUCGAUCACCGUGGAAGCUUGAGUGGAGUCCGUCCGUCGCGAAGAAUCCGGUCGAUGUUGGUGGGGGUUUAUCCAUCGGCAGAACUUGGAAAUGUUACGGAGGCCCGACCGCCAGAGAGGUUCGGCGAGAUGUCGUCGGAGGUCGGACAUUAGUAGAAUCCCUGGAGGGUCGC